rnacentral:lncRNA from 1 species
AUUUAGCUUGAAACAAGAUGCUACUUUUUCUCUCUUACAGGUAGUUUUGCUGACGGAUGUGACAUACACAUCUGGAUUCUGUUUUAUGUUCGUCCAAGAUAUUGGAUUAGAGUCUGAGUUGGUCAGAAAAUGCAAUUUCCAUGUCACUGAAUUAUUUGCAGCAGCUGCAUCUUGAGAUGUUUCUGGCCAGAAGAACAUACAAGGAAUCUAGUAUGUAUCGACCUUUUUGAAUGCCAGUGGUGAGUUUAUGCAGUUCUUACAAUAAUGUGAAGUAAUUGUUGCAAUGUCUGUUUUGCAGAUGAGAAAAGCAU